AAUUCUCCAAGGCUCAGAAUCUCAGCAGGAGAUAUAGACUGCGUGGAGGUUUUUGUUCCCUUGGGAUAUAUCCUCCUAAUAUGAUAUACAUUGGAAGUGCUCUUGAGUCGGGCACUUUUGCUGUCUAAGGUGAAUUAUUGACUGAUUGUCUAAGCAGGAUCUCCGGGAAUCUGGCAGACAGUCACUUGCUUCUAAAAUCAUCAGAUCCUGCUUCAAUGGAACCCUGAAGUGCUGUUUGUUUGGGCUGUAAAGAACCUUGUGAGCUGGAGAAAUUCCAGAAAGGAGCCCUUGUAUCACCAUAUAAGUUUUGUUACUCUCCUUUUAAUAAAAGCAAGUUGGUUU